rnacentral:lncRNA from 1 species
CUAAUAUAAAAAUAAAUACAAAUGAGGGUUAAGUCUUCCAUGAAUACAUCAGUUGGUGUCAUUGACAUUGCCCUGGUGAGGUCAUACCUAAGUGGCUGGAUGAUAUGGGAACGUCAGCUUCUCAGUAAAUGUCAUGUGGGGAUAUGUAGAGGCCAAAAUUGAGUAGAACUCAUUUUGAUAUUGAUAUUAUACAUGCAUCAAGUUCUACAAUUCGUGAUAUUGAUCGUGCAUUGAUACCUACAAUUGAUUGAGUUGAUGUUGGAUCCUAUCAUGUCUCUGUUUAUGUCUCAAUUUCAACUCAUCCUGUCUUUGUGUGAGCUGCAAUUGCGUGGCCUCAAUCCAACGAAUAAUGUCCUAAUUCGGCUUACUGACAAGUAGAGGCCCACAGUAGUGGGAUGGCUAUGCCCCUGCUUCCUAUGGUGGGAUGCUUGUGUAUAUUUGCUUGCUAAUGAACUAUCAAAUUAUCUUCUUAGUCAUUACUGGUUUAGGAUACACUACCUCCCUUGUUAGGGAUGUUACAAUUCCCAUUUUCUACAUAGAGCAUAUAUUAGUGAAGGGUAACCCAAACAGACGGUUGUAGAACCUUAAGAAUGUGCAAAAAAUUUGUUUGACUAACCGAGUCCACAUCAACACUGAGGCCCCUCUAAAUGGGAAAGUUCAAUAAUGCUCGUUCUUUUGUCACUUUGCUAAAAUUGCUGCAGGACAAAAGUUUAGCACAAAGAAAUAAUGCCACGUUUUGCAUUCAACAUAUAUCCUUGCGAUGGGAAAAUUAGUGACAUCUACGCUUGAUCGUUUUUGGAUUAGCCAACUCUCGAAUUAUGUCCUCUGGGUUUCUUCACGUAGUUUGGAAAAUUUAUCAUCAUUAAUAUUUGGCAAUCUGUAGAAGCUAUGAUUGAGGUUCUGUCAAAACGAACCCACUUACCCUACAUAUAGACUUCUGAAUUCCUGUGGUCUUAGCGUUAGUGUAAAAUUCCCGCACUACUGAAUUUUUCCAGUUUAUGGUUGUUAUGUAAACAACUCCCAGUUUCAUCCCUCAUAUAAAGUUCAAGAUUAUUGAAAUCCCAUUCUGGAAUACAACUCUUGUGAACUACCAUGCCUUGAUAUCUUUCAUCCAUUUCAGCACUCGCAAAUUUACUUCUGUUAAAAGAACUGGAAGAAGAAUAGGUGACAAGGUGAACUCCAAAAAGGUAACAAUUUCAAUGAACUUCAACCAUCACAAGCUAACCCAAAAAUUCUCUCAAUAAGCCACUACAAAUUCCAAUCAAUAUGACGAACUCCUCAAUAACACAAUAUUGACCACAAUUCAAUUCACCACUCUCAACUCAACUCACAAUAAUGUUCCAAAUUUCACAAUGUCAAUGCAAGUACUUAAAGUUAUCAAAUAAACCACCAAAGUAGUUCAAGUUCUCAUAGGAAUUUCAACAAACAUUUUGUAGACCAUUCACAAUUCAAACUUAUAUUGUCCCCAAACUUCUUCUAAUCCUAGCCCCAAACAUAAAUUCAACCAUUCCAAAUUCCAGUCACCACAAGCUCCAAAAAAAUAAAAAUUAACUACUCUUGCUUCACACAUCCAACCACCAAGUGUAAUAUGACAUAGUGUAUCAUAAAUUUCCCAAGUUUAGAUACUCGGCAUCCUUUGUGUAGCCCUCCUAGAGUAGAAUACCUACUUAUUAGAAGGUUGUGGAAAUUGAAUUUUGGAUAAAAGAAAUGGAACAAUUCGGAUCGAAUCAGAUUAGAUGUGGCUAUAGAGGUGGGAGAUUUGUUCUAACGGAUGAUUUUUCAUGUUGUAGUGUAGUGAUCUAAAAUAAAUUGAGGUGAAUGUAAUGAUUUUGAGGAGUUUAGUACAUGAUUUUGGGAAGGGUGAGACAGAGAGAGAGAGAGUGUGUGUGUGUGUGUGUGUGC